rnacentral:rRNA from 1 species
AGAGUUUGAUUCUGGCUCAGAAUGAACGCUGGCAGCGUGGAUUAGGCAUGCAAGUCGAACGGAAAGUUUAGUUUUCAAUCUUCGGAGAGAAUUUUAAGCAGAUAGUGGCAAAAGGGUGAGGAACACGUGGGUAAUCUACCUCUAAAUUGGGGACAACCAUUCGAAAGGAUGGCUAAUACCGAAUGUGGUCGUCUGUCGCAUGGCAGAUUGAUUAAAGGUGGGGUCUUUCGGGACCUGCCGUUUGGAGAGGAGCCCGCGUCCCAUCAGCUUGUUGGUGAGGUAACAGCUCACCAAGGCUAACGGGUAGCUGGUCUGAGAGGAUGACCAGCCACACUGGGACUGAGACACUGCCCAGACUCCUACGGGAGGCUGCAGUCGAGGAUCAUUCGCAAUGCACGAAAGUGUGACGAUGCGACGCUGCGUGGAGGAUGACGGCCUUAGGGUUGUAAACUCCUGUCAUUCAGGAAAAAUAGCCUCGGAAUUAAUACCUCCGAGGUUUGAUGGUACUGAAAGAGGAAGCCACGGCUAACUCUGUGCCAGCAGCCGCGGUAAUACAGAGGUGGCGAGCGUUGUUCGGAUUUACUGGGCGUAAAGCGUGCGUAGGUGGUAUCGUAUGUCGGAUGUGAAAUCCCAUGGCUCAACUGUGGAACUGCAUUCGAAACUGCAAUACUAGAGUACAGGAGGGGUGAGCGGAAUUCUUGGUGUAGCGGUGAAAUGCGUUGAUAUCAAGAAGAACACCGGCGGCGAAGGCGGCUCACUGGAAUGUUACUGACACUGAAGCACGAAAGUUGGGGGAGCGAACAGGAUUAGAUACCCUGGUAGUCCCAACCGUAAACGGUGUGAACUUGGUGUGGGGGGUAUUGAUCCCCCCCGUGCCGGAGCUAACGCGUUAAGUUCACCGCCUGGGGAGUACGACCGCAAGGUUAAAACUCAAAGAAAUUGACGGGGGCCCGCACAAGCGGAGGAGCAUGUGGCUUAAUUCGAUGCAACGCGAAGAACCUUACCAGGGCUUGACAUAUACCUGCACGCUUCCCGAAAGGGAGGAAGCUUUCGAAGGUGGUAUACAGGUGCUGCAUGGCUGUCGUCAGUUCGUGCCGUGAGGUGUUGGGUUAAGUCCCGCAACGAACGCAACCCUUGUGGUUGUUGCCACCGAAGGUGAUGAGCCUUCGAGCACUCUAGCCAGACUGCCCGUGCAAGCGGGAGGAAGGUGGGGAUGACGUCAAGUCAGUAUGGCCCUUACGCCCUGGGCUGCACACGUGCUACAAUGGCAGAAACAAUGGGACGCAAUGCCGCGAGGUGGAGCAAAUCCCCAAAUUCUGCCCCAGUUCGGAUUGGAGUCUGCAACUCGACUCCAUGAAGCCGGAUUCGCUAGUAAUGGCGUAUCAUCUACGACGCCGUGAAUACGUUCCCGGGCCUUGUACACACCGCCCGUCACAUCAUGAAAGCCGUCUGCACCCGUAGUCGUUGAUCCAACCCGCAAGGGAGGAAGACGCCGAAGGUGUGGGUGGUGAUUGGGAUGAAGUCGGAACAAGGUA